rnacentral:rRNA from 1 species
UACGUAGGGGGCAAGCGUUGUCCGGAAUCAUUGGGCGUAAAGGGCUCGUAGGCGGUCUGUUGCGUCGGGAGUGAAAACUUACAGCUUAACUGUGAGCGUGCUUUCGAUACGGGCAGACUUGAGGCAUUCAGGGGAGAACGGAAUUCCUGGUGUAGCGGUGAAAUGCGCAGAUAUCAGGAGGAACACCGGUGGCGAAGGCGGUUCUCUGGGAAUGUCCUGACGCUGAGGAGCGAAAGUGUGGGGAGCGAACAGG